UUGCUUUAAGUUUCUCUAGGGCUAUUUAAUUUGUGUUUAAAUACCUUUCCGCCAUUUUGUUUUAUUUUGGGAAAAUCAUCAUAAUUGUACUGCAGUACAAUUAAUUAAAUAAUUGUACUCCAAUCAGCAUCCAGUAAUUUUGUCAUGCUAAUAAUAAUUAAUAUAAUACUGUAGUUAAUAGAACUUCCAUAACACAUACAGUAUAACAACUGUUUAAUAAAACUAUAGUACAAAUGCAUGUUUAGUACGGUUACAUAUUUUUUUGUAGAAAUUAUCUAAUUUGAGUUUUGUAUUUUAAGGAGACAAAAUGUAGAGAUAUUAAAUCAGCGUGUGAUGAUGGCAUUGCUUUAUUAAGGAGAAGAAAAUAUCUCAAAAACGAAAAAUGGAAUUAAGUAAAAAGACUUUCUUUUACCGUUCUCUAGUGUAGUCUACAGUGAAUAAUUCCUUCUGUUAAG
rnacentral:lncRNA from 1 species